rnacentral:rRNA from 1 species
AGUGAACGCUGGCGGUAGGCCUAACACAUGCAAGUCGAACGGCAGCACAGUAAGAGCUUGCUCUUACGGGUGGCGAGUGGCGGACGGGUGAGGAAUACAUCGGAAUCUACUUUUUCGUGGGGGAUAACGUAGGGAAACUUACGCUAAUACCGCAUACGACCUACGGGUGAAAGCAGGGGAUCUUCGGACCUUGCGCGAUUGAAUGAGCCGAUGUCGGAUUAGCUAGUUGGCGGGGUAAAGGCCCACCAAGGCGACGAUCCGUAGCUGGUCUGAGAGGAUGUUCAGCCACACUGGAACUGAGACACGGUCCAGACUCCUACGGGAGGCAGCAGUGGGGAAUAUUGGACAAUGGGCGCAAGCCUGAUCCAGCCAUACCGCGUGGGUGAAGAAGGCCUUCGGGUUGUAAAGCCCUUUUGUUGGGAAAGAAAAGCAGCAGGUUAAUACCCCGCUGUUCUGACGGUACCCAAAGAAUAAGCACCGACUAACUUCGUG